GACUCCGUCGCGGAUGGUUCGCAACUGCCGGAUAUCUUCAGGAAAUCUUCAAUCUAUGCAGUCGGUGCCUGUUCGAUUCAGGCCGGAGUCA